AGUUGGCCGUUACCAUCUAUAUGCGGAUGGUCGAACCAUAAGACUGCGACAAAAUAAAACUACGGCACGAAUACUACCUAGAGUAUUCGUGAAAGAAAAUAACCAAUUCAAAAUAGUAAUGUUAUUAUUUCACGAAUGUCAGCGAAACUGUCACAUUGCAUUGAAAAUAACCGUAACUUACGUAAAACGUACUGCGCACCGUACUUCAAUCAGAUCAGACCCCUGGGGGCCCUGGGUCGGGGCUGAGAAAAUCUGGAGGUGGUGUAUGCUCGAAGUAUUUUACCGGAUUUUUCUUUACAUUCCAUUGACAUUCCAUUGGACAGUGAUAAGGAUCAUAUCUAUAAACAUAAUUAUAGGUUUUACUGUAUUUAUAGUUUGUUCUUUAUUCUUUUCUGCAGCAAAUUAAAAACAAUGUUCGCCUUAUUUAAUUUCCAGAGCCUAUUGAUCAUAUUAUUGUUGACAAUAUGUACAUGCACAUACAUUCGGUCUAUUAUUCCAAGCUUGUUGGAUAGAAAUAAGAGUGGGAUGGAGAGAAAAAUACUGAAGAAUGGAUGAACUUUUCAUUGCUAUUUAUUUUCUUCCUGGUGCACCUCUGAUACUUGUACUGCAUGACUUUGUUUUCUUUUAAAAGUAAUAGUUAUCACAAAAGGUAAGUGCUGAAGUGACUGCAUAAAUAGAAGUGAGAUGCUUGCUCCUCACGUUUGGUCAGGUCCUUUCUCUCCCUAUCAAAAAAGCUAGCUGGAAAUUCAGCUGGAUUCCAUAUGAAUUCUUAUGGAUUCCAUAUAGAUUUUCAUGGAUUUCCAGAUUGGAUUCCUAAUUGAUAUCCUGAAUAAUCCAGGCAGAUUUCUUGAAAAAGUCCAGGUGGAGUUUUAAGAAAUCCAGGUGCAUGUAUAUUUUGAAAUUCUAGAUGGGUUUCUGUAGAAAAUCCAAAUGGAUUUUUCAAAGAAAUUGAGAUGCACUUUAGUAAAAUAUUCAGAUGGAUUUUUUUAGGAAAUCCAUGUGCACUUUAUUGAAAUUCCAGGUGGACUUUUUAAGAAAUUUAUAUGGAAUUUUAUGACAUUCUAGAUGGAAUUUUUAGGAAUUCCAGAUGGAAUUAUACGUAAUUUCAGGUAUAUUUGUAUGCAAUUAUAGAUGGAUUUUUGUCUGAAAUCUAUGUGCUUAUAUUUUUCAAAUUGUAGAUAAUAUUUUUUGUAAAUUCCAGUGGAUUAUUGUAGGUUUUUAAGAAAUCCAAAAGCAUAUUUUGUAAAUUUUAGAUGAAAUUCUUGGAAACUCCAAGUAUAUUUUUGGAAUAUCCACAUGAAUUUCUUGGGUAACCAGAUGGAUUGCUAAGUAAUUUGAGAUAAAUCACCUUGCAAUAUAAAUAGGCUUUAUUGUAAAUCCAAGUAGAUACCUCAGUAAUUUCAUAUGAAUUCUUGCAGAAUUGAGGUGAUUUAUUUGGAAAAUACUGAUGUUAACAAAUAAACAUUAGACAGGUAUUAUGAAUAUGUCUAACAGAUUGAACAUUUAUUUUGUGAUGAAUAAACAAAAAUGUUUCAAUAAAUAAAAUAAUAAGAAAUGUACAUCAUCAAAUAAAAACCAACUAAAAUACAUUUAUAAAAUUACAACACAUGAUUUAUUGUCAUUUUA